rnacentral:rRNA from 1 species
UACGGAGGGUGCAAGCGUUGUCCGGAUUUAUUGGGUUUAAAGGGUGCGUAGGCGGGUCUGUAAGUCAGCGGUGAAAUCCAGCAGCUCAACUGUUGAAUUGCCAUUGAUACUGCGGAUCUUGAGUGGGACCGAGGUGACAGGAAUGUGUGGUGUAGCGGUGAAAUGCAUAGAUAUCACACAGAACACCGAUUGCGAAGGCAAGUCACUAGGUUUCAACUGACGCUGAGGCACGAAAAGCGUGGGGAUCAAACAGG